GGGGGAUGAUGCUCGGAUACUGGGCGUAAGGGCGCGUAGGCGGAUCGUUAAGUCAGAGGUGAAAUCCCAGGGCUCAACCCUGGAACUGCCUUUGAUACUGGCGAUCUUGAGUAUGAGAGAGGUAUGUGGAACUCCGAGUGUAGAGGUGAAAUUCGUAGAUAUUCGGAAGAACACCAGUGGCGAAGGCGACAUACUGGCUCAUUACUGACGCUGAGGCGCGAAAGCGUGGGGAGCAAACAGGAUUAGAUACCCUGGUAGUCCACGCCGUAAACGAUGAUUGCUAGUUGUCGGGCUGCAUGCAGUUCGGUGACGCAGCUAACGCAUUAAGCAAUCCGCCUGGGGAGUACGGUCGCAAGAUUAAAACUCAAAGGAAUUGACGG
rnacentral:rRNA from 1 species